AAUGAACGCUGGCGGCAUGCCUAACACAUGCAAGUCGAACGAGAUCUUCGGGUCUAGUGGCGCACGGGUGCGUAACGCGUGGGAAUCUGCCCUUUGGUUCGGAAUAACAGUUGGAAACGACUGCUAAUACCGGAUGAUGACGAAAGUCCAAAGAUUUAUCGCCAGAGGAUGAGCCCGCGUAGGAUUAGCUAGUUGGUGUGGUAAAGGCGCACCAAGGCGACGAUCCUUAGCUGGUCUGAGAGGAUGAACAGCCACACUGGGACUGAGACACGGCCCAGACUCCUACGGGAGGCAGCAGUGGGGAAUAUUGGACAAUGGGCGAAAGCCUGAUCCAGCAAUGCCGCGUGAGUGAUGAAGGCCUUAGGGUUGUAAAGCUCUUUUACCCGGGAUGAUAAUGACAGUACCGGGAGAAUAAGCUCCGGCUAACUCCGUGCCAGCCGCCGCAGUAA
rnacentral:rRNA from 1 species